rnacentral:rRNA from 1 species
GACGUAGGGGGCAAGCGUUGUCCGGAUUUAUUGGGCGUAAAGAGCUCGUAGGCGGCUCAGAAAGUCGGGUGUGAAACCUCCAGGCUCAACCUGGAGACGCCACCUGAUACUGCUGUGGCUAGAGUCCGGUAGGGGAGCACGGAAUUCCCGGUGUAGCGGUGAAAUGCUUAGAUAUCGGGAGGAACACCAGUGGCGAAGGCGGUGCUCUGGGCCGGAACUGACGCUGAGGUGCGAAAGCGUGGGGAGCAAACAGG